rnacentral:lncRNA from 1 species
UUGGCUGUCAACCGUUUCCUCUGCUCCAGGAAGCAUUUCCAGACCCAUCCCAGGCUAGCUCAGAUGUGCCCUCUUGCUGUUCUCACACUGUAUUGUGUGUAUCCAUUUCGCUCACUAAACUAUAGCUUGAAAAGCAAGAUGAGUGUUAAAACGUAUGUGUUGAAUGAAGGAAUGAUGAAUGAAUGAAUAUAUGAAUGAAUGAGCGAAUCAUUUUUGAAUAGUCCUGCCAGUGAUGAAGUCAAGGAAACAAGCUCAGGGAAUGCGAUGGGCGCUGAGACUGAUGAUAACUUGCUAUGUGUUCUUUUUUCUGCCCUUCCUCCUUUCAUUUCAGGGUUUCAAAGCCAGAGGAGAUAAAAGAAAUUUGUUCCCCUUGCAAAGAUGAAAAUCAGAUUUGCCCUGGUUUUGGUUAAUCGAAGUAUUGAUACGUUUUUCCUUAUUUAAUUUUAUUUUUUAAUUACCUCCAGUUCCAUCCAUGUUGCUGCAAAUGACAGGAUUUCAUUCUUUUUAUGGCUAAAUAAUAUUCCACUCUGUAUAUAAACCACUUUUUUUUUUUUUAAGACAGAGUCUUGUUCUGUCGCCCAGGCUGGAGUGCCAUGGCACGAUUUCAGCUCACUGCAAGCUCUGUCUCCCAGGUUCAAGUGAUUCUCGUGUCUCAGCCUCCUGAGUCGCUAAGAUGACAGGUGCCCGCCACCAUGCCUGGCUAAUUUUUGUACUUUUAGUAGAGAUGGGUUUCACCAUGUUGGCCAGGCUGGUCUUGAACUCCUGACCUCAGGCCAUCUGCCCGCCUCGGCCUCCCAAAGCGCGUGAGCCACUGCGCCCAGCCAGUUUUUCCUAAUUUUAGGUUGGAAUGCACUCCCUGAAUAGCCCCUGUUCAUCCAAAUCCAGCCUUCGAAAAUCUACUCCUUUUUCCUCCAUCAAGUCUUCAAACCCAUGAAGAUUUGUUGUCCCUAAAUAUUUCUCUUAGAGAAGCACAUUAUAACCAAUUGGCUAUAAUGAAGUAUUCUGGAACGAUCAGGAUUUGCUGAGUAUUGGAGAAAGAUCCAUCCACUUAGAAGAAGAAUUAAACAAUCAGAAGUGGACACGACCUGGACCAUCAGCCCAGCACUCCCUCUUCUGGGUGCUGCUCCUCUCACAUCAUCCACGUGGUUCCCCGGCAGCAGCCACAUAUGCACGAUGUGCCCACCCCCAGCUGAAGACAACAUUAUCCAAGUUAAACCAAAGAGCCCCUUCUCCAGAGAAUUUGGGAUUGGGGCCAAGAGAUUCCAUCCACCAGGCUGCUUUCUUGAAGCAAAAGACUACACCCCACAAUGUGGGGUGAAAGAGGAGGAAGCAUGUCUAUAGAGUAAGAAUAAAGCAGAUAUUCAGGAAAAGCAAAGAAAGAAGUAAAACAGGGGCUUCGGGGCUCCCCACAACACUCCAGUCCCUGUCCUUGAGUUCUGUGACACCCCAGUAGCCUGAUAACAAAUUCUCCCCAAUGCCCAAGCAAGCUCAAAUGGGUUCUGCCACCUGCUCCCGAGCAUCUUAACAAAUGCGCCACCGAGCCAGGAUGGAUCCCUCACUAGGCGUUGAAGCCAAUAAGAGAAUGCGCCGACACCUGCCUAAUGCAGCUGUGCACUGCACAGUGGCCCAUCAGGUCCCAGCGUCCUGCUGGCCUUCAGCCAAAGCAGAGGAGGUUAGUUGUCUAGUUUCUUACCGGCAGGUACUUGGCUCCCCCGACGGAGAUCAGCCCAGCCACAAGACCCAGCACCAUGGCAAGCCACGGAGAAGGGAUCAGGUGACACGAGGUACCCACAGCCACGCCUCCUGCCAACACCGCACUGUGCACAUAAGUCUGCAAAGAAAUAGCGUGUGGGUAAAGGAAGCAAGGUAGAGAGAGAACACCAUCUUGCUGCAAGUGACCAGCACGCUGGGAACAAGGCAACCCUGUAACAUCCUCCCUGCUUUGCUGAUCCUGAAACCACUUCUCCCCUGUGUUGGGGCUACGUGUCCUUCAUCAGUGGACAUGAUGGGCCAGCUCACUACUGCCUCUUAGGCUCAGGGCACAGUUACCCUGAUUGUGCAGCAUUUAGGGAAUGAGCUGGGAAGUCCAGGUGCUCAGCAUCCUAGGCACCCAUCACACUCAUUAGUGGUGUGUCCCUGGGCAGCGGGAAGAAUGGGUUUUUGUUUUAUUUUUUAGAGACAGGGUCUUGCUAUGUUGCCUGGGCUGGUCUUGAACUCCUGGCCUCAACCAAUCCUCUUGCCUCAGCCUCCCAAAAUAUUGGGAUUACAGGUGUGAGCCACUGCACCUGGCCUAGAAGAAUGGGGUUUUGGAUGUACCUUCUUCAUAAGGUUAUUGUAAGGAUUAAAUGAGUUUCCACAUAUAAAGCUCUUAGCCCAGUGUCUGGCAUAGAACAUGAAUAAAUGCCCAGUAGACAC